UUUAAGUGAAGAGUUUGAUCCUGGCUCAGAGUGAACGCUGGCGGUAGGCCUAACACAUGCAAGUCGAACGGCAGCACAGAGGAGCUUGCUCCUUGGGUGGCGAGUGGCGGACG
rnacentral:rRNA from 1 species